GACGAACGCUGGCGGCAUGCCUAAUACAUGCAAGUCGAGCGAACAGAUGAAGUGCUUGCACUUCUGACGUUAGCGGCGAACGGGUGAGUAACACGUAAGGAAUCUACCUAUAAGCGGGGGAUAACAUUCGGAAACGGGUGCUAAUACCGCAUAAUAUCUUCUUCCGCAUGGAAGAAGAUUGAAAGACGGCUCUGCUGUCACUUAUAGAUGACCUUGCGGUGCAUUAGUUAGUUGGUGGGGUAAUGGCCUACCAAGACGAUGAUGCAUAGCCGACCUGAGAGGGUGAUCGGCCACAUUGGGACUGAGACACGGCCCAAACUCCUACGGGAGGCAGCAGUAGGGAAUCUUCCGCAAUGGGCGAAAGCCUGACGGAGCAAUGCCGCGUGAGUGAAGAAGGCCUUCGGGUCGUAAAACUCUGUUAUAAGAGAAGAACAAAUUGUAGAGUAACUGCUACAGUCUUGACGGUAUCUUAUCAGAAAGCCACGGCUAACUACGUGCCAGCAGCCGCAGUAAGAC
rnacentral:rRNA from 1 species